UAGGCAAAAUAUAAAUCACUUCACAAUACACAAAACUCAACCCUAUUUUCUUCUCACGCUCUCUCUCUCUUCCCCCCUAGUCACACUGUAAGCCGCCUCUCUUAUUUUCUCGCAAAAUUGUUGACAUGUUUUCAAUUGCCAACGCUGGUAGGAUGCCCAUUAAAGCUUCAGCAAAUGAGCUUAGGAGGGAGGAUGAGAUGUUUGGAUACCCAAUUAUGUUUCUUGUCCUCAAAGAAAAAGGUCUUGAGCAGGAGGGAAACCACAGAACGAGAAUAUUGGAAAUCAGAUAAAACUUAGUGGUAAAUUUAAGGUUCUAUUCAAAAUUUGAGGAAAAGAUCCACGCUAAGAAAGCAGAGAAGAUUAAUUUACAAGCCAAAACUAAGGAAUCUCGGGGGGCUGAGAUUAAAAUGCUAAAGGAAGAGUUUGGCAUUCAAGGCAACACCAAUGCCAAGCUUUUAUCAGAAACCUCCACUGCUGAAACUGGAACUAAAGAAGGUAAUUUGUUGAUUUGUUGCUUGUGACACAAUUUGAAUGUUAAAAAUUUUUAUUUUCUAUUUAUAAUUUGGAAUGUUGUGUUAAAAUGUAAUAAUUAAUUUGGAACAUUUAUGCAGUGUAUUAAAAGCGGGCUUCUUAAGUUUAGAGCUUGAACUUGAUCGAUUGGAUUUGGAUCUAUGACAGUUUAGAUAAAAUAUCAAUGAAUGUUUUAUAUGCAAGUAUGCAAGAACUUAUUUCACUUGCUGCUUUUGAAUACAUCGGAAAAUAUUAUGGUUCUCGUUGAUAAUUUGCACUGAUGUUGCAUAAUGUGUUGGCAUCAAAACUAACAAGCUACAAUCCUUUUUGCAACUAUACUUUGACUAAUUCGAGGAUGCUUGCUAUUUUGAUUGCU